UCUCUGCCGGAGCGAGAGGCCCGUUCACAGAACAUUGAACCUGAAAACAGCAAAGUCUACCAAACGAUCAAAACUGAACAUUUUCAACCAAAAUCCGCUUCGAACACGGAGGAGAGAGCGAUCCGACCCAUCUCUGCUUCAACAUCACCAUUAAAAACCUUUGAACUGGGAGAAGCAGGAAACGGACCGGACCUCCUCGUUGUGUGGGAAAUUGGAAGAUACCGGAUCUGUGGAAUGUGUGAGACGUGGUCACCCACGUUAAAGGCUUGUGAAUAUUGAGGCGCACGCGACAUCUAACGUCCGGACUGCAGACUGCAGCAACAUGAACAUCUCCCCCCC